rnacentral:rRNA from 1 species
UACAGAGGGUGCAAGCGUUGUUCGGAAUUACUGGGCGUAAAGCGCGUGUAGGCGGUUUAGAAAGUCAGACGUGAAAUCCCUAGGCUUAACCAAGGAAUGGCGUCUGAUACUGCUAAGCUAGAGUGUCGGAGGGGAUGGCGGAAUUCCCGGUGUAGAGGUGAAAUUCGUAGAUAUCGGGAGGAACACCUGUGGCGAAGGCGGCCAUCUGGAAGACAACUGACGCUGAGACGCGAAAGCGUGGGGAGCAAACAGG